rnacentral:rRNA from 1 species
AGAGUUUGAUCAUGGCUCAGGAUGAACGCUGGCGGCGUGCUUAACACAUGCAAGUCGAACGAAGCACUUAAGAUUGAUUCUUCGGAUGAAGUCUUUUGUGACUGAGUGGCGGACGGGUGAGUAACGCGUGGGUAACCUGCCUCAUACAGGGGGAUAACAGUUAGAAAUGACUGCUAAUACCGCAUAAGCGCACGGUGUCGCAUGACACAGUGUGAAAAACUCCGGUGGUAUGAGAUC